AAAAGGCUCUGAUGAAUCAUGUGUACAACGCAUGUCAGACUUCAGAGAUGCCACAACAUUGAUGAGAAGAUAUAUCAUAUUCCGAGCUAUUU